rnacentral:lncRNA from 1 species
AAAAGAAAGAAAAUCCUAAGAGAGAGAAAAGAGAACUCGAUCUGGAACCAAAGAUGAUGCAAGGAAUAGAACUCAAAAAGCUCCUAGUACUGGGGCAAAACCUUCUGGCAGAACCUUCUAUUACAGAGGAAAGCGAUAAAUGUAAAAGUAAAGUCCAGAUGAAAGUGACUUUGUAUAUAUAGGAUCUCUCAAUAGUCUGAAUAAAAUCAUUCAAAUCAGGGUCUCCUCGGAUGUCGACACGUGGCUACAUCAAGACCGACCA